AGUGAACGCUGGCGGUAGGCCUAACACAUGCAAGUCGAACGGCAGCACAGUAAGAGCUUGCUCUUACGGGUGGCGAGUGGCGGACGGGUGAGGAAUACAUCGGAAUCUACUUUUUCGUGGGGGAUAACGUAGGGAAACUUACGCUAAUACCGCAUACGACCUACGGGUGAAAGCAGGGGAUCUUCGGACCUUGCGCGAUUGAAUGAGCCGAUGUCGGAUUAGCUAGUUGGCGGGGUAAAGGCCCGCCAAGGCGACGAUCCGUAGCUGGUCUGAGAGGAUGAUCAGCCACACUGGAACUGAGACACGGUCCAGACUCCUACGGGAGGCAGCAGUGGGGAAUAUUGGACAAUGGGCGCAAGCCUGAUCCAGCCAUACCGCGUGGGUGAAGAAGGCCUUCGGGUUGUAAAGCCCUUUUGUUGGGAAAGAAAAGCAGCAGGUUAAUACCCCGCUGUUCUGACGGUACCCAAAGAAUAAGCACCGGCGAACUUCGU
rnacentral:rRNA from 1 species